CCUACGGGAGGCUGCAGUGAGGAAUAUUGGUCAAUGGACGAGAGUCUGAACCAGCCAAGUAGCGUGAAGGAUGACUGCCCUAUGGGUUGUAAACUUCUUUUAUAUGGGAAUAAAAUGUUCCACGUGUGGGAUUUUGUAUGUACCAUAUGAAUAAGGAUCGGCUAACUCCGUGCCAGCAGCCGCGGUAAUACUGAGGAUCCGAGCGUUAUCCGGAUUUAUUGGGUUUAAAGGGAGCGUAGGUGGAUUGUUAAGUCAGUUGGGAAAGUGUGCGGCUCAACCGUAAAAGUGCAGUUGAAACUGGCAGUCUUGAGUACAGUAGAGGUGGGCGGAAUUCGUGGUGUAGCGGUGAAAUGCUUAGAUAUCACGAAGAACUCCGAUUGCGAAGGCAGCUCACUGGACUGCAACUGACACUGAGGCUCGAAAGUGUGGGUAUCAAACAGGAUUAGAUACCCGUGUAGUC
rnacentral:rRNA from 1 species